rnacentral:rRNA from 1 species
AAACAUGUCUUUUUGAGUUAUAUUUAAAGUCUGACCUGCCCACUGAGUAUUUUAAAUGGCCGCAGUAUUUUGACUGUGCAAAGGUAGCAUAAUCAUUAGUCUUUUAAUUGAAGGCUGGUAUGAAUGGUUGGACGAAGUAUAAGCUGUUUCAUAUAAAUUUAUAAUAGAAUUUUAUAUUUUAGUUAAAAAGCUAAAAUUUUAUUAAAAGACGAGAAGACCCUAUAAAUCUUUAUAAUUAAUGUUAACUAAAUUUUUUUGAUUUAUUUUAUUUUUUUAAUAUUAAUUAUUUUGUUGGGGUGAUAUUAAAAUUUAAUAAACUUUUAAUUUUUUUAAAAUCAUUAAUUUAUGAAUUAUUGAUCCAUUAAUAGUGAUUAUAAGAUUAAGUUACUUUAGGGAUAACAGCGUAAUUUUUUUUGAGAGUUCAUAUCGACAAAAAAGUUUGCGACCUCGAUGUUGGAUUAAGGUGUAAUUUUGGGUGUAGCUGUUCAAAAAUUAAGUCUGUUCGACUUUUAAAUCCUUACAUGAUC